GUGGGGAAUUUUGGACAAUGGGCGCAAGCCUGAUCCAGCCAUUCCGCGUGAGUGAAGAAGGCCUUCGGGUUGUAAAGCUCUUUCGGCCGGGAAGAAAUCGGGCAGGUGAAUAAUCUGCCUGGAUGACGGUACCGGAAGAAGAAGCACCGGCUAACUACGUGCCAGCAGCCGCGGUAAUACGUAGGGUGCGAGCGUUAAUCGGAAUUACUGGGCGUAAAGCGUGCGCAGGCGGCUUUGUAAGACAGGUGUGAAAUCCCCGGGCUUAACCUGGGAAUGGCGCUUGUGACUGCAAGGCUUGAGUUCGGCAGAGGGGGGUGGAAUUCCACGUGUAGCAGUGAAAUGCGUAGAGAUGUGGAGGAACACCGAUGGCGAAGGCAGCCCCCUGGGUCGCGACUGACGCUCAUGCACGAAAGCGUGGGGAGCAAACAGGAUUAGAUACCCCUGUAGUCC
rnacentral:rRNA from 1 species